CCAACAGGGAUUGCCUCAGUAACGGCGAGUGAAGCGGCAACAGCUCAAAUUUGAAAUCUGGCUCUUUCAGGGUCCGAGUUGUAAUUUGUAGAGAGUGCUUCGGGGGAGACCGCGGUCUAAGUCCAUUGGAACAUGGCGUCACAGAGGGUGAGAAUCCCGUAUGUGACUGUGGUUCGAGCCCAUGUGAAGCCUCUUCGACGAGUCGAGUUGUUUGGGAAUGCAGCUCAAAAUGGGUGGUAAAUUUCAUCUAAAGCUAAAUACUGGCUGGAGACCGAUAGCGCACAAGUAGAGUGAUCGAAAGAUGAAAAGCACUUUGGAAAGAGAGUCAAACAGUACGUGAAAUUGUUGAAAGGGAAGCGCUUGCAACCAGACCUGUCCGCAGGUGAUCAGCCGCUGUUCUCAGUGGUGCACUCGCUCUGCGAUCAGGCCAGCAUCGGUUCUGGCGGCCGGAUAAAGGCCUUGGGAAUGUAGCUCCCUUCGGGGAGUCUUAUAGCCCUCGGUGCAAUGCGGCCAGUCGGGACCGAGGACCGCGCUUCGGCUAGGAUGCUGGCGUAAUGGUUGUAAGCGACCCGUCUUGAAACACGGACCAAGGAGUCUAACAUCUACGCGAGUGUUUGGGUGUCAAACCCAUGCGCGGAAUGAAAGUGAACGGAGGUGAGAACCCUUAAGGGCGCAUCAUCGACCGAUCCAGAUGUCUUCGGAUGGAUUUGAGUAUGAGCGUAGCUGUUGGGACCCGAAAGACAGUGAACUAUGCCUGAAUAGGGUGAAGCCAGAGGAAACUCUGGUGGAGGCUCGCAGCGGUUCUGACGUGCAAAUCGAUCGUCAAAUUUGGGUAUAGGGGCGAAAGACUAAUCGAACUGUCUAGUAGCUGGUUCCUGCCGAAGUUUCCCUCAGGAUAGCAGUAACGUUUUCAGUUUUAUGAGGUAAAGCGAAUGAUUAGAGGCCUUGGGGUUGAAACAACCUUAACCUAUUCUCAAACUUUAAAUAUGUAAG
rnacentral:rRNA from 1 species